GCGCUGCUGAUACGUCAGCUUUGGUGCUUAUUAAGAGCUAGCCCAAGCUGAACAGAUGCCCAUGUCCGUAUGUGCACGUGCACAGUGGAACCCAGGAAGCAUAUUUGUGGAGGGUAAUCUCAGGAGCGGAUUAUCAACAGAAGUCAAAGAUGAAGAGACGCUGUUGCAAUCACACUUUGCAGAAAACAGGAAAUAGGAAAAAAUUACAACAACCAACCCUGAACCCCCAAAGAACCAGCAAAUGAUGUAAAACUUCCCAUUGGGAAGAAAAACAACACUGUGAGAGAAAAAAAACUGUGGAGCACAGCUGCACCUGGUGGUAUCCCACAGUUGGAGACGGAAAGCGUUUGACACCCGGGCAGGAAGCCCUCACCGUGUCUAGUCCCAGCGAAGUUCAUCUGGCGUAGAAUGAAGACGGACAUUUAUGAUUGGGUCAGGACCUGUGUAGCAUGCCUAUGACCGACGGGGCCCACACGUCCAUCGGCACCUGGGUUGUCUGGUUUAGUGUCCCCUACGACCUCUCCUCCGAUCAUGGGCUUCUGGGCUCUGGAUUUCAGUCGCCCAGAAUCUAUCUCACUCCACCACACCGCAGCUUACCACAUGCAGUUUUCACCAUUCCUUGAAGGCCACCCUAAACCAGUCUCUAGGACAACAAUUGGAUCAACUGACCUCCAUGGGAGAUGCUAGGACUCAUGACUGCACCUAAAGAGCACCUUAAUUGUGGAGCAACCAUCCAUUCUUGAUAUUUUAGAAUAGAUGUCUGAUAUUAGUAGUUCCGUAUAUCACCCUCAGAUUUGGACACUUGUGGUCAAUGAGUUUAUGAUACAGGACAUGUAUAGUUUUACCUGUUUUAUAACAGUGAUCUCUCAGUACAUCACUUAUCUGAAGGAGAACAACUUCACUUUUGCAUUUUCACCAUGAUAAUUGCAUUUGUGGCACUUUAUUUAUGAAUAUUAUGAAUAUAAUCUAAGUAUUGCAAAUGGUGUCUUGAUUCAUUUUCCAAGUCUCUGUGAUGCUUACAUGUGGAGUUAUAAAGCCUUGAAUAGAACAUUAUGGGUGAGGAUUGUCCAGCUUUGGCAUCUGCACAAAGGGGUUAAAGCUGUUUAUUAAAUGAGUACACAUAAUCACAUUUAUAUGAAUAUAUCAGGUAAGACACAUAAGGGGUUAGAUUUGUGGGAGGCUAUAUUUUACCAGUGCUCUGGUAGAAAAAGGAACUGAAAAUAUGGAAAUGGGUGAAUAUAGGCAAAAUGGCAAGAACACGGCAAUAAAAUCUAUGAUGUAGUUUGUAUAUUGAAAAAUUCAUAUUAAAAUACUGCAAACUACAUUUUCAGCAGCUAAAUAGUUUCAUAUCAGCUAGAGAAGUGUUCCAUCUUAUAUUCAGGUGUUGCUGUAAAUGGUUGGUAUGCUGUUUUUAAAUCUACUGGCUUUGAUAUCUGAUUGACAGCUGCAUGCAAAAUGUGAACAUAGCUUAAGUUUCAAAACUAUUUCAAGUCAGAUUGUUUUGGUUUUUGCCUAGCAACAGUCCCAAACAUCUUUGGUCUGAAAUAUGACUUGUUUGAGAUGGUCUGGACUACAACACUGGUUUGUGGCAAAUAAAGGUCUUUGGGAUCAAAGGGGGUGAUCCAACACCUGGCUAACUAGACUUGAAAAAAAAAGUUAUUGAUUCCCAUAAUUCUAAGAUGAUAAGCAGAAACCUUCUAAAUAAGAGACAGUGUAACAGUAUCUGCUGUGUUCAGUGUUUUAUGUUCUAGUACAAUAUCAUAAAUGUCAUAUUAUACAUAUAAUUUAUCUUUACAAUGUUAAUAAAGCUAUAAAUUUUGACUGUACUGUAGACAUCAAAGUACUGCCACACUCAGAACCCAUUUACCAAAUGCUGUGCCAGUGUUCCAUGUGAAAUCUUUCUGUAAACAAACAUCUAUCAUUUGAGAAAACAUCAUAAAAUCAUUCAAACAUUUUCCUCACUCGCCAGUUGCCCAAUAUGACAGCCUUGGAAUCAUUCAAUUCUGUGACAAAUCUAACAGUUGGAAUUUAUAUUACUGUCGUAUUCUGAUUGUCAUAGUUUGACUGACAGAAAAUACAGCUGGAGUAAGCUCCCAAGCGUGACGCCAGAUAAUUAAGAGAUGGCAAAAACAAUAUAUUCCUGGCUUCUCUACUCAACAGUUGGUGAAAUAAUUAAAAUAAUUAAGUUAAAGGGGUUUGUGGUUAGUAUAACAUAGACAAAUAACAAUUCAAAAGCCAUAAGUGAAAAGUGAAUCAGUGGAAAUCCACUUUUUUCCUAUAUUGUUCCUUUUAACAUUUCUCAGUUAACCAAAGGGAGGUAAAGACAUGAUCACUUCCACUGAAUUUAUUAAUGAUGUUUACAGUUUCUAUUUGAUACAUGAGUAUUUAAAUAUCUGUAUUUCAAAAUGCUAUUUAUAUAUUUCAACUAUUUCCAGAUACACUGGUCAUACAAAUGUUACAAAUUAACAAUACACUACUGUAGUAAAGACAGCAUUGCGUGGUCAGACAUGCCAGCCAUGUUCUAAGUGGACACUUGUUGGUUUGAGUUGAAAAUAACACCUAACUUAGCUAACAUCUUUAGCUUGAAUACAAGUGGACACAUUUUGGAGUAUAGUAUUUACAUUGACAAAGCAGCCACGAAGAUGCAAGUACUGGAUAUACCGAAAGUGAAUGUAAUAUAAGUACAUUACAUAUGGACAUUUGAAACUUUUUUCUGAAUGAUUUAUUCCGUGAUCUGAAGUGCUGUUCUUAAAGCUGAAAGGGUGUAUAUUUUCAUGCAAAAAUAGAUGAGACCAAUUAACCA